AGUAAGUAGCUUAUUCUUGGUUUGUAUUUUCCUUAAGUUGGCGCUUGUAUAUUGUAGCAGGCAUCUUGGUCUGUUGUUGGUCCUGUGGUGGGAGACUUUAAGGAAAUGUCAGCUCUUGGUUGCAGCCUUGGCACCUGUGGUGAUCAUUUUUAGUACAGCACUUGGAGAGAAGCAAGAUGGUGCUUUUUGAAUUAAGAAAAUGUGCCAUGGGUAGUUCUGAGCUUCAAAUAAGUACUGUUGAUAAGUCACUGGUGUCUGGAUAGAUUUGAUAACAAAGGUUAAGGUCUUUAUAAUUUACCAUUAACUUAAUUUCUACCCUCAGUUUACAGGCUUGACUUUGC
rnacentral:lncRNA from 1 species